UACAGAGACUGCGAGCGUUAUUCGGAUUCACUGGGCGUAAAGGGUGCGCAGGCGGCCGUGUGUGUUGGGCGUGAAAGCCCGGAGCUUAACUCCGGAAUUGCACCCAAAACUACAUGGCUAGAGCAUUGGAGAGGGUAGCGGAAUUCACGGUGUAGCAGUGAAAUGCGUAGAUAUCAGGAGGAACACCUGUGGCGAAAGCGGCUCACUGGACCAUAACUGACGCUGAUGCACGAAAGCUAGGGGAGCAAACAGG
rnacentral:rRNA from 1 species